CACGUAGGGGGCAAGCGUUGUCCGGAUUUAUUGGGCGUAAAGAGCUCGUAGGUGGUUCGGUAAGUCAGGUGUGAAACCUCCAGGCUCAACCGUGGAGACGCCACCUGAUACUGCUGUGGCUAGAGUCCGGUAGGGGAGCGUGGAAUUCCUGGUGUAGCGGUGAAAUGCGCAGAUAUCAGGAGGAACACCAGCGGCGAAGGCGGCGCUCUGGGCCGGAACUGACGCUGAGGAGCGAAAGCGUGGGUAGCAAACAGG
rnacentral:rRNA from 1 species